UUUUCAUAUUUUCUAGGCAUCAACGUUUGUCUUAAAAAAAUCUUUUCUUCAGAGAAAGAAACAGUUUUAAUCAAAAACACUUUCAGCUGUGUCUAAACCAGAUAUCUGUCUGUCCAGAAGAAUCAGAAGGAAAAUCUGAACAUGAGGAAACAAAAGGAAAUGAAAUAUCCAAGGCCACACCAAGAAUCCAUGUCAGAACUCAGGACAUCUUCACCUUUGUUGCCAAUGAAAAACUCACAAGGAAUCUGCUCUCACAAGGUAUUAACACAGAGGAACACCAGCAGGAUGAAAUGAACCCAGUAACUGCUGUGUCAACAGUUAUUUAUUCUUCCAGAACUUUUGUUUAACUCUCAUGCUGGAACCUUUUGUACUGAUUGCAUAAGCCUCUAAACAUUUAAAUUAAUUGUUUCUUAUUGUCUUUGAUAUAACUGAUGUCUUCUUUUACCUUUGCUCAUUAUUUUUUUAGUAUGUUCAUUAAUCUGCAUUCAUUAUUUAUAUUCACUACGUGAAGCCGCUGUUUUUAGUUUCCUUUCAACAUCCUCUCAAUUUGAGGGUUUUUAUUUCCGAGACUUUAUCUACCAGGCUUUAGUCUUUAGGCAUAGAGUCUUGGAAACUGUUAAUCACUUUCACUUCUAAUAUUAUCU
rnacentral:lncRNA from 1 species